GAAUUUCUCUCUUUGUAAAAGAUGGUUUCUAGCUGGACUCCACCUCCCAGUGAAGUGGUUGAGCAAAAGGCGAAAGACUGGAUAAGGCUUUUCUUGAGCUUGAAGCACAAGUGUCAAGGGUUUCAGGAAAAGAAUAUUACGCCCUAUAUGCACACCAGUCUUUCACUUCCCUUACUUUAUUUCAAAAUACGGAAAUGUCAAGAUGUUUAGUGGACAAGGGGUGGAGAAAAAUAAUGAUGACGCCAAGAGACACUACUUCUCCAGUAAUCUGCAUGACCCAGUGGGGGAGGUUCUGAAAGCUGAAGCGAGAAUAGACGAGACAUCACAAUUUAAGCGAAAGAAACGAAAGU